rnacentral:lncRNA from 10 species
CCGGCAGAUCGCUUGAGCUCAGGAGUUCAAGACCAGCCUGACCAACAUGGCGAAACCCCACCUCUACUAAAAAUACAAAAAUUAGCCAGGUGUGGUGGUGUGUGCCUAUAAUCCCAGCUACUCGGGAGGCUGAGGAAGGAGAAUCGCUUGAACCCAGGAGGCAGAGGUUGCAGUGAGCCGAGAUGGUGCCACUGCACUCCAGCUUGGGUGACAGAGCGAGACUCUGUCUCAAAAAAUAAAAAAUAAGCUAGUGGACUUUGAGCAAAGCAGACUGUUCGCCACAAUGUGGGUGGGCCUCACCUGAUCAGUUGAAGUACUGAAUAGAACAAACCUCGCUCUACCCUGAGCAAGAAGAAAUUCUGCCAGCAGACCACUUUUGGACUCAAACUGCAAAUCCUGAAUCUCCAGCUUGCCAGCCUACUCCACCUGAUUUAGCAGAUUUUGGACCCACCAAGCCUCCAUAAUUCUACAGAAGACAAGGCACAGACACAGAGGAGAAGCCGUAUGAAGAUGAAGGAAAUGACUGGAGUUAUGAGCCAAGGAACGCCUGGAACCACCAGAAAUUGGAAGAGGGAAGAAAAAAAUCUCCCCUAGAGAAUCUUGUUCAGAGGGAGCGUAGCCCUGCCAUCACCUUGAUUCCAGACUCUUGUCGUACAGAACUGUUAGAGAAUAAAUUUCUGUUGUUUUAAACCACCAAAUUUGUGGGAAUUUUUACAGGAGCCCCAAAAAACUAAUACAUGUACCUCUCUGCAUAGUUGGUAGAUCAAGCCAACAAAAAGUAAUAAAAACAUACAAAAGAUUUCAAGAGCAUAGUCAAGCAGUUUUUAUCUAAUGAGCAUAUAAGCAAUCCUGCACUCAAUUAUUUGUUAAAAUAUCCCUUAUUUUUCAUUGCACAUGAAUCAUCUAUAUAAAUUUGAGUCAUAUUGUAACAAAAUAAUUUGUCAAUAUUG